CAGCAGCCGCGGGAAUACGUAGGGUGCGAGCGUUAAUCGGAAUUACUGGGCGUAAAGCGUGCGCAGGCGGUUAUAUAAGACAGAUGUGAAAUCCCCGGGCUCAACCUGGGACCUGCAUUUGUGACUGUAUAGCUAGAGUACGGUAGAGGGGGAUGGAAUUCCGCGUGUAGCAGUGAAAUGCGUAGAUAUGCGGAGGAACACCGAUGGCGAAGGCAAUCCCCUGGACCUGUACUGACGCUCAUGCACGAAAGCGUGGGGAGCAAACAGGAUUAGAUACCCGUGUAGUCCCUGUCUCUUAUAC
rnacentral:rRNA from 1 species